UGCCGGGUAGCUCAAUCAGGCAGAGCAGCGCCCUGUUAAGGCGAUGGUUGUGGGUUCGAGUCCCACCCCGGCAG
rnacentral:tRNA from 1 species